rnacentral:rRNA from 1 species
GACGAACGCUGGCGGCGUGCUUAACACAUGCAAGUCGAACGGUGAAGCCCUUCGGGGUGGAUCAGUGGCGAACGAGUGAGUAACACGUGAGCAACCUGCCCCUGGCUCUGGGACAACCACUGGAAACGGUGGCUAAUACCGGAUACGACCCGCCUCGGCAUCGAGUGUGGGUGGAAAGUUUUUCGGCUGGGGAUGGGCUCGCGGCCUAUCAGCUUGUUGGUGAGGUGAAGGCUCACCAAGGCGACGACGGGUAGCCGGCCUGAGAGGGCGACCGGCCACACUGGGACUGAGACACGGCCCAGACUCCUACGGGAGGCAGCAGUGGGGAAUAUUGCACAAUGGGCGAAAGCCUGAUGCAGCGACGCCGCGUGAGGGAUGACGGCCUUCGGGUUGUAAACCUCUUUCAGCUCCGAAGAAGCGAAAGUGACGGUAGGAGCAGAAGAAGCACCGGCUAACUACGUG